GGAUCCAUGAGAAAAUGCAUGCUGUUUCUGGUCCCUCUGCUGACCCAAUGAUCGAGCCCUGACACCUUGUUGGCACUGUACCAUCAUGGAACGUUGGGCCUGCAGAAGCACUAGCAGCACCGGAUCCAAGAACACAAGAGGAUGAGGAUGAGAUUUCCCAUCAUUUUCUAACGGUGGCGGCCUGUGUGGUAAGAAACUGGGUUCUUUAAGAUUUGCCGAACACAGUUCAUAAUGAAUUGAGAAUUUUCUGCAAAAAGGAUCGCACUGUCUUUUUUUUCCCCCGCACGGGAUGCCCGUGGAUCAAGAAGGCUGAGGAGAAUCGCAAUGCCAAUCUGUGUGUGGUCAGAGACAGGUGGCCCCAGGCCCCAAACCUGUGCUUGUUACACAUGGAUUUGGUCACAAAUGUGAGGGCAAGGGUGUCCAGCCAAACUUCGAAUCCAUUCCCAUCAGAGCACAUACGCUCGUGCAGGCAAGCAAAAUGGCAUUUAUACUUAGUCCUGCUAAUUGGGUGUAACCCAAGUUAUGACCCCACCAAUCCAUUCUCACAAGAAAAUAAAUAUAACCCACCCCAAACUAAACCUCCACCAUCACACACCAC
rnacentral:lncRNA from 1 species